GUUAAAAAUAUUUUAUAUUUAAAAAUCGGCAAUCUUCGUAAAUAAGGAGCUAUUUGAUUGGUCAGAUUUUAAAAUUUUUCUUUGCUUUUCUCUGAUUGGUUAACGGUAAUUUACCCACGCCAUUUUGAAAAAUAGAUCGACGAACCGAAUUGAGAGAGUUGGUGAUGUUUAAUAAAAUUUAGCAAAUAUUCGCCGAUGAAAUUGGUAGAAAAUAGAUGUUUAGCUACAGCAUGUUAGCAUGGAUCACAUUUAUAAACAAAGAAAAGCGAAAACGGAAGGAGGUUGGCGUUUUUCAUGCAUCAUGCCCUGGCUUUGCUGGUGUAAACAACGCCAUAUGCGUUUGAGUGCCUCUGCAGAGCCAUAGAAGAAAAGCUGAUUAGUUAUAGAGGAAUAGGACACCCACCCACCCUCCCACCCUACCCCUUGAGGCAUUACAGAUUAUGCAGGACCAAGCAGGAUGACAGUGAGAAAACUGGAGAUGUACUUCUUCAACAAAGUAAAGUGCUGUGCAAAAGAAACCCCAAAGCAGAGAGAAGAUCUAGACUUUUGAAUUCAUAUCUCAUUAUAAAUGUACAAUUUACAAAGACAAUAAGAUUGAUAAAACAUGACUUAGAAAUGAGGACAAUUGAAGAGUGAAUACUGUAUGUAAGACAGAAAAGAUCAAGAUAAUUGCACAAAAAGUAACUAAAUCAGUAAUCUAAAGACAUUUCUCUUUAAAAUCUGAUUGAAAGCUGCAUUUAAGAAAAAGUUUUUCACGUUUUUAGUACUUUUCUAGGCACUGCUUUGUAUUAUUUAAAGCUUUUUUAUGUACUUUUUGUCUAUCAUUCUUGUACCUUUUUUGAACUCCUAAAUGUACUUUUUUUUGUAUUUUUCAGAAUGUAUUAUUUUUAGAUUUUUUUGUUUUAAAUGCGAUUUUAAUACAGAAAUAAUAGACUGAUACAAAAUUAAUACAUUUUGCAUUAUUUUCCUAUUUUUUUUUCAAGG